UACGAGGGGGGCGAGCGUUGUUCGGAAUUAUUGGGCGUAAAGGGUGCGUAGGCGGUUUGGUAAGUCUUGUGUGAAAUCUCCAGGCUCAACUUGGAGUCUGCACGAGAAACUGCCGGGCUUGAGUGUGGGAGAGGUGAGUGGAAUUCCUGGUGUAGCGGUGAAAUGCGUAGAGAUCGGGAGGAACACCAGUGGCGAAGGCGGCCUUCUGGACCAAUACUGUCGCUCAUGCACGAAAGCGUGGGGAGCAAACAGG
rnacentral:rRNA from 1 species